AGUGAACGCUGGCGGUAGGCCUAACACAUGCAAGUCGAACGGCAGCACAGGAGAGCUUGCUCUCUGGGCGGCGAGUGGCGGACGGGUGAGGAAUACAUCGGAAUCUACUCUGUCGUGGGGGAUAACGUAGGGAAACUUACGCUAAUACCGCAUACGACCUACGGGUGAAAGCAGGGGACCUUCGGGCCUUGCGCGAUUGAAUGAGCCGAUGUCGGAUUAGCUAGUUGGCGGGGGAAAGGCCCACCAAGGCGACGAUCCGUAGCUGGUCUGAGAGGAUGAUCAGCCACACUGGAACUGAGACACGGUCCAGACUCCUACGGGAGGCAGCAGUGGGGAAUAUUGGACAAUGGGCGCAAGCCUGAUCCAGCCAUACCGCGUGGGUGAAGAAGGCCUUCGGGUUGUAAAGCCCUUUUGUUGGGAAAGAAAUCCAGCUGGCUAAUACCCGGUUGGGUUGACGGUACCCAAAGAAUAAGCACCGGCUAACUUCGUGCCAGCAGCCGCCGUAA
rnacentral:rRNA from 1 species